rnacentral:piRNA from 1 species
UGGAUUCAACACCUGGCCAGUGUUGCGGUGA